UGGAAUGUCAUGGGAACCUGUAAGUC
rnacentral:piRNA from 1 species